rnacentral:rRNA from 1 species
UACAGAGGUGGCAAGCGUUGUUCGGAAUUACUGGGCGUAAAGGGCGCGUAGGCGGCCAUCUAAGUCAAAGGGGAAAUCCCCCGGCUUAACCUGGGAACUGCGUCUGAUACUGGACGGCUUGAGUAUGGGAGAGGGAUGUAGAAUUCCAGGUGUAGCGGUGAAAUGCGUAGAUAUCUGGAGGAAUACCGGUGGCGAAGGCGGCAUCCUGGACCAUUACUGACGCUGAGGCGCGAAAGCUAGGGGAGCAAACGGG